rnacentral:rRNA from 1 species
AACGAACGCUGGCGGCAGGCUUAACACAUGUAAGUCGAACGCUCGUGGCAACACGGGAGUGGCGGACGGGUGAGUAACGCGUGGGAACGUGCCCUGAGGUACGGAAUAACCGAGGGAAACUUCGGCUAAUACCGUAUGAGCCCCUUACGGGGGAAAGAUUUAUCGCCUUAGGAGCGGCCCGCGUCGGAUUAGCGAGUUGGCGGGGUAACGUCCUCCCAAGGCUGCGAUCCGUAGCUGGUCUGAGAGGACGAUCCGCCACACUGAGGCUGACAUACGGCACGGACUCCUGGAGGAGGCAGGAGUUGGGAGUCUUGCGCAGUGGGGGAAAGCCUGACGCAGCAACGCCGCGUGCGGGAUGACGGCCCUCGGGUUGUAAACCGCUUUCAGCAGGAGCGAAUCUGACGGUACCUGCAGAAGAAGGGCCGGCCAACUACGUGCCAGCAGCCGCAGUAACAC